AUUGAACGCUGGCGGCAGGCCUAACACAUGCAAGUCGAGCGAAGCGGGGACGGGUGAGUAACACGUGGAUAACCUCCUAUAAGACUGGGAUAACUUCGGGAAACCGGAGCUAAUCCGGAUACUUAUCGAUGGAUCCUCUCUGCAUUAGCUAGUUGGUAAGGUAACGGCUUACCAAGGCAACGAUGCAUAGCCGACCUGAGAGGUUGAUCGGCCACACGGGAACUGAGACACGGUCCAGACUCCUACGGGAGGCAGCAGUAGGGAAUCUUCCGCAAUGGGCGAAAGCCUGACGUAGCAAGGCCGCGUGAGUGAUGAAGGUCUUCGGAUCGUAAAACUCUGUUAUUAGGGAAGCGGUACCUAAAGAGAAAGCCACGGCUAACUACGUGCCAGCAGCCGCGGUAAUUG
rnacentral:rRNA from 1 species